AUUGAACGCUGGCGGCAGGCUUAACACAUGCAAGUAGAGCGAGCGGGGGACGGGUGAGUAAUGUCUGGGAAACUGCCUGAGGGAGGGGGAUAACGACUGGAAACGGUAGCUAAUAACGCAUACCAGAAGCUGUGCCACGAUGGGAUUAGCUAGUAGGUGGGGUAAUGGCUCACCCAGGCGACUAUCCCUAGCUGGUAUGAGAGGAUUACCAGCCACACUGGAACUGAGACACGGUCCAGACUCCUACGUGAGGCAGCAGUGGGUAAUCUUGCGCAAUGGGCGCAAGCCUGAUGCAGCCAUGCCGCGUGUGUGAAGAAGGCCUUCGGGUUGUAAAGCACUUUCAUCGAGGAGGCGUUACUCGCAGAAGAAGCACCGGCUAACUCCGUGCCAGCCGCCGCGGUAAUUC
rnacentral:rRNA from 1 species